GGACGACAUGUUCAUCAAGCGUGUUUGAAUAGAUUAUGAUAUUGUCAAGAUAAGCCACACAAUAUACAUCUAAAAGGUCGCUGAGGGCUUUGUUGAUAUAAGAUUGAAAGAUCACAGAGGCAUUGAUUAGCCCAAAAGGGCAGUGGAUAUCGAUUCUUGACUGUUAUUUCAUUCAAUCCUUGAUAAUUCACACAAAGACGCAGGGUUCCAUCUUUCUUGAGUGCAAAUAAUACUGGCAUGUCUGCUGGGCUCUUGAACAGACAUAUCCAAUUCUUCUCUAACACUUUUUUGAUAUAUUCUCGGAGGACAGAGAGUUCUUGAGGUGAUAGAUUAUAUAUCAGUCAGUAUGGGGGUUUCUUGCCAGAUUUGAGCUCUAUGACAUGAUCAUGAGGUGCAUGUUCUGCAUCAGGUAUGUCUUCUUGAAAUACAUCAAGAUAAUCUUUAUAAUCAUCUGGGAUAUUUGGCUCAGUUGCUGCACUCGCAGCUCAUAAUGGUAAGGCAGUGAAUAUAAUAUUGCCAUCAUUAAUUAGUGUUGCGAAUUCUUUAGCAGUAUCCAGAUGCAUGUGGUUAAUAUUUGAUGCUUUCCUAUAGGUUCAGCAUCUUCACACCCAGUCGAUAUCAGAGUUCACAGCUUCCAACCACAGCAUGCCCAAAAUUAUGUCAUAUCUGCUAAUGUCGGCCUCUUCGAAAUGGUGGAAUCCUUCUCAGAGGACAUGUUUGUCAUCGAUAAUCUUCAUUGCAGCUCUUCAUUGUCCAUAUGAUUUAACCUUAUGAUUAUUGACUGCUUCCACUACUUUUGGUUUAUCUUCUGUCUUUGAGAAAUAUUUUGAUGCCCAGGUGUGGGACACGAAGUUCGCAUCCGCGCCAGAAUCCACUAGCAUCCACACCAUCGACCAUCCCACUUCUGUCAGCAUCCAUGUAUUCAUCGCCAAUAAUCAUUUAUCUCACAGCCUAGUUGUUUGUAUUCCCAAUGCAGCAGCUGCUUCUAUGAUUGGGAUUGCUGGUUUUUUGCUUGUUGAACUUGGUUGUGCUUUUCAGGGUGUAACAUCCAACAAUCAUUUGCAACAUGACCCUUCUUAUGGCAGUCUUCCUUUGUGAAUAGCAUGCUGUUGCUCUGGCAUAUUUUCCUUGAGAGUCUGUAGAGUUCAAAGCAACUCUUCAUAGUUCUGAGGCUUCUGAUUUUGACAGUUGAAUUCUGUGUGUAAUACCUUCAAUGCCUUACUACACAAGUUAUCCAUUCUUUGUUCUUCGCUAUAUGGGGGUAAGUAGUAUUCCCAGUCUUCAAGAUAUUUAGAGAAAUUGUGUAUCAAUUGCCAUUCUUGUUGCUUUGCAUCUUGAAAUUUUUGGCUCACCAAUCAGCACUGGUUCUGUGGAUCGUUAAUUUGCAUUUCUAGGUGUGAUAACAUAUCAUCAAAAGUCAACAGUGUUGCUCCUCCACAUCUCUCAUAUGAUGAUACAAAAUUCAACCAUUUCUGCUUAAUGUGGGUGUCAAGAUAGAGUUUAGCAUCAUUUAUCUUGUGUUCUUCCUUUCAAUAAUACCAGUGGUGGUGUGUAAAGAGAGUCAACAUGUGAUCUUUAUAGUUCUUGAAUUCUAACAUAUUUUUUCCUUGAUAAUAGUCCUUAAUCUUCAACCUCAGUGGUGUUUCAUUAUCAUCAUCUGUAUUGUUCGCAGAUUGAUUUUGUGGCGGUCCUGUGGUGGUAUCCUGGGUUAAUUGGGGUUCAAUGAGAGUAUCUCCAUGAAUCUGCGCUUCCAACUUGUUGAGCUGCUGUUGUGCAUGCAGAAUAGCUAAUUGCUGCUCUCAUUCACAAAUUUGAUCAUUCAACUGUUGCAAACACGCAUUGUGAUCAUCGGAGGCAGUAGAAGAUUCAGGUUGGUUUUCAAGGGAUCUUGCACAUGUUGAGACCAUCUUGUGUGUUUUAACUAAUGUUGCGUGUUUUAACUAACAUUGCGUGCUUUAUUGUAGGUGUGUGUAACAACAGACCACUCAAAUAAAGUUUAGAGCGAUUAGAAUUGUAAGAGAUGGUUGUAGGUAUAAUUAUGGGAGUAGUGUGAAGUACGC
rnacentral:sRNA from 1 species